GUGCAAGGCCGAGGGAGGAACUGUCGUCUGGGAAUGCCUGGUUUCCCGGCCAGACGCCGAGGGCCCUCAAAGUCCCUAGCAACGGCUGCGGAGGCAGAUGCUUUCACUCUGCAAGCGCUCCAGCACAUGAUCAUCAACUUUCCAUGUGUCUAGAAAGAAAAGAACAAAGAUUUCUAUCAUUUUGAUUUGGGGGAAUGAGUCAGGGAAGUAAUCAUAUGUGUGGAACACACCAGGGAGGGGUUAGGAAAGAAGAUGGAAAUCUCUUUGUGAGCAAGAUGGUAUUAUAUCACAGAGAUCACUGAAACGAGAAAUUUGACAGAUUACACCAUCUUGUGUGGGAGCAAGAGAAGGAUCUGAGAAUCUACCACUUCAGAGUACUGCAGGCAUUCCAAUGAGUCUACCUAGGUCCAUGCAGGUUACAAAUGGCGACCCAGAACAGGGACUCCAAGGACGCCCAACUAGCCGCAUCCGAACAUGGGACUUCAAGGAUGUGAAUGAAGAAGGUCUGCUGGAGCAGAGGAACCGAAAUUGACAAGGCAAACGGGGACCCGGGGACAAGUCUGCCAGCAGCCAAUAUAAGUCUGUAAAAUCGGAUGGACUGCCAGUCGGCGAAUGAGAGCUGCCCAGCCUGGCCUUACAUUCUUUCAAUUAAUUCAUAAACAGAAAGGGGAAUAUGCAGGGAGCCGAAGGCCCCUGAGAUGUGACCAACUCAGCAUUCCACUGGAGGCUAUAUGAUCAAACAGCAAACUGUUUAUCAUGAACACAGGAUGUGGGCAAACUCAUCACUGCUCCUGCUGACAGAAGGUUUGCUGGAGGCAAUCACUCCCUGGCACCGAGGUUAUCUACUGCAACAUCUAGAGAAUGCAGUCUUGCAAGCCUACUCUGAACUGAGCAGCUGACCCCUUCUUCCACCCCCACCCCCACCCUUGUAUCUCUUUUGCCUAAUAAAUACAGAGGGCUGUGAAAAGCUCAGGGCCCUUGUCCACUAGAGGCAAGGUGCCCCCUGACCCCUUCUUCCAAAUAUA